CCCAGCUUUGAACAACCGGCUCCUGAUUGGCUUGUCAGAGAACUGGUAUUUCCCAGAAGCUGGGCAGUUGUCGCUUGGACAAUUAUUCUAUCAAGGUAUGACGUCACAAGUACUUUUCUGUGAAAAUUAUUACGGGUGCUAAAGCGUCCCAAUUCAAGAGUAUGUGCUCUAGAAACUACUGCAAGUUUUCUUGCACUUCCGUGUUUCCUAACCCUUAAUAAUACGAAAUUCGUUGCGAAGUUCAAAAGUUCAUACUGAAAUUCCCAAUUCGGUUUGUAAACAAAGUCUGAUUGGUCCCUGAAUUAAAAGAAGCCAGUCAAACGCUUAGUUUAUAAACCGGUUUGUGAAUAGUACAACAUAAGUUCAGUUUUGGACUACUGUUACCCCAACCAAUCGAAUGCACUUAUUCUACCUGAUUAACCAAUCAAAUGUGUAAGUGGCAGUCAAAUCUGAACGUCUAGAUAUUUUGCUCGUGUAGAUGAUAAAUUUAUCUCAAACUCAAUAAUUCAUGAGCAAAUUAGCGAAUGAACUCACCCUAAUUCGUCACAUGAUUGAGGUUGGAUACCGCAAGGAAACACGCUAAAAAUCAUAUACCAUCACUGUUGUUAGAUGAAAAACGGUUUUCAUCUAAUAACUGAGAUCCUAAUUACAAAUUCAAGUCAAAACACAACAAUAUACUAUAAUAAUAUAUAUAAGCCAAUGAAAUGUUUUCGUUUGAGAUGUUAUGUAAACAACUCGUUUCUCGUGUUUCAUCAGGGGACCAAACACUCGCAAACAAUAAAACACUCGCGCUCGUGUUUCAUACAGUUUUCUCGUGUUUGGAUCCCCUGAUGAAACACUCAAACUCGUUGUUUACAUAUAACGUGACAAAUUUAUUUUAUGAGCUCUUGAACUUCCCAACGAAGUGUUAUGCAGCCCGAGUGGCCAUUUUAAAUCCCUUCCUUAAAUGCUGGCGAGUGGAAGGAAAAUAGGGCCUGACAUACUAGACAAAUAAAUUUUAACAACUUUUU